rnacentral:sRNA from 1 species
AUGACUUUACAUACCCAUGCAAUAUUUCAUAAAUGACUAAGAUGUACUCAUUAUCAGUACUUCAAUGAAAAUCAAUCCACCGACUGCUUCAUAUGCUGUAACACUGGAACUUUUUUCUGUGAUAAUGUCGGUUUUGUAAAGUGUAUCAUAUGGCCACUAUCAUACAAUGGAAUACUGUUAAUAUUCAUAACACAUACAAGUGCUUGCAUGUGCUUGUGAGCAUGUGAACUCUUAUUAUGAUAUCACAAAAAUAACAAGUUUUUAAUAUGAUCACUUUUAUUACCUGACAUGAUAAAAGAUGGUUAAAGUAAGUGUAUGCAUGUUUUACUCUUAUAAAAUUUAUUUAUAAAUAAAGAUGCACAAAGUAUAACAAACAAACAUUCUGAAUAAAUAUAUAUUAUAUUCAAAUUUACUGGCACUGUACCACUUAUUGGCUAAAAUUUAACGUUUUCUUUUUGUAUUUCCUUGUUUCUUGAUAUUUUUGGAUAAAACUUGACAUACGU